GACGAACGCUGGCGGCGUGCUUAACACAUGCAAGUCGAACGGAAAGGCCCUGCUUUUGUGGGGUGCUCGAGUGGCGAACGGGUGAGUAACACGUGAGUAACCUGCCCUUGACUUUGGGAUAACUUCAGGAAACUGGGGCUAAUACCGGAUAGGAGCUCCUGCUGCAUGGUGGGGGUUGGAAAGUUUCGGCGGUUGGUGAUGGACUCGCGGCUUAUCAGCUUGUUGGUGGGGUAGUGGCUUACCAAGGCUUUGACGGGUAGCCGGCCUGAGAGGGUGACCGGCCACAUUGGGACUGAGAUACGGCCCAGACUCCUACGGGAGGCAGCAGUGGGGAAUAUUGCACAAUGGGCGGAAGCCUGAUGCAGCAACGCCGCGUGCGGGAUGACGGCCUUCGGGUUGUAAACCGCUUUCGCCUGUGACGAAGCGUUAGUGACGGUAAUGGGUAAAGAAGCACCGGCUAACUACGUG
rnacentral:rRNA from 1 species